rnacentral:sRNA from 1 species
AGAAGACGGGGUGUGAUGGGAAAGGUGCCCACCCCCUGCUCUGUCCCAGCAUACCACCAAACCUCCAACAAGGCCUUUUGCAGUCUCAGUCUCAUGCUUGGAUCAGAAGAGCAUUGGAGAUAUUGGCCCUGAGCAGGACAGAGCAUAUCUGUAACAGUGUCCAGGAACAAUAUACCUUUGAGGGAAGAUGCUUAUUGCCAGAUUAUUGGGAUUUCUCCAAAUAUGAAAGACUUCGUUCUAGGUAGAGACAAGGUCCAGGAGGCCAAGGUGACCGAAGUGAAAAUCAACGAGGCCCGAGAGCACUACCGGCCAGCAGCUGCCAGGGCCUCACUGCUCUACUUCAUCAUGAACGACCUCAGCAAGAUCCAUCCAAUGUACCAGUUUUCUCUCAAGGCCUUCAGUAUCGUCUUCCAGAAGGCUGUGGAGAGGGCUGCUCCUGACGAAAGCCUCAGGGAGCGGGUGGCCAACCUAAUAGACAGCAUAACCUUCUCUGUGUACCAGUACACCACCCGCGGGCUCUUUGAGUGUGAUAAGCUGACCUACCUUGCCCAGCUCACCUUUCAGAUUCUCCUCAUGAACCGAGAAGUCAAUGCAGCGGAGUUGGAUUUCCUGCUUCGAUCUCCAGUGCAGACGGGCACCGCCAGCCCCGUGGAGUUCCUCUCCCAUCAGGCGUGGGGAGCCGUCAAGGUACUUUCAUCAAUGGAAGAAUUCUCUAAUCUGGAUCGGGACAUAGAGGGAUCUGCUAAGAGCUGGAAAAAGUUUGUGGAGUCCGAAUGUCCUGAGAAAGAGAAGCUCCCACAGGAGUGGAAAAAUAAGACAGCCCUGCAGCGUCUCUGCAUGAUGAGAGCCAUGCGGCCCGACCGGAUGACCUAUGCUUUGCGAGAUUUUGUUGAAGAGAAGUUAGGAAGCAAAUACGUGGUGGGAAGAGCCCUAGAUUUUGCAACCUCAUUUGAAGAAUCGGGACCAGCCACUCCCAUGUUUUUUAUCCUGUCUCCAGGGGUGGACCCACUGAAGGAUGUAGAAAGUCAAGGAAGAAAACUUGGAUACACCUUCAAUAAUCAGAACUUUCACAACGUGUCUUUGGGGCAAGGACAGGAAGUGGUGGCUGAGGCUGCGCUGGACCUCGCUGCCAAGAAAGGUCACUGGGUUAUUUUGCAGGUAAAGAGAUGUUCUUCUUUACCUUUUAUCACCCAGCCCACUGCCUUGAACAUAGCAGACACUGAAACAAAAGGCCGGUGGGCCAAGGAAUCCAUGAAGAAAUUAAAGAAAGAAUAAAUGCAAAAGCCAGUCACUCCCAAGCUUCCUGGCUUUCGCUACCAUGAACCUUUCCCAUAUCCUGAUUACUGGUGACAUCACAUCUUGCUGCUGGGUCUUUGUCCUUAAUUAUUCUGUUGUUUAUUUGGAGCCUAGCAACUGAGAGAUCUGGCCCCUCCCAGGGCCUCCUUUUCCAGAAACAUCAG